rnacentral:rRNA from 1 species
GAUGAACGCUGGCGGCGUGCCUAAUACAUGCGAGUCGAGCGAACGGACGAGAAGCUUGCUUCUCUGAUGUUAGCGGCGGACGGGUGAGUAACACGUGGAUAACCUACCUAUAAGACUGGGAUAACUUCGGGAAACCGGAGCUAAUACCGGAUGAUAUUUUGAACCGCAUGGUUCAAAAGUGAAAGACGGUCUUGCUGUCACUUAUAGAUGGAUCCGCGCUGCAUUAGCUAGUUGGUAAGGUAACGGCUUACCAAGGCAACGAUGCAUAGCCGACCUGAGAGGGUGAUCGGCCACACUGGAACUGAGACACGGUCCAGACUCCUACGGGAGGCAGCAGUAGGGAAUCUUCCGCAAUGGGCGAAAGCCUGACGGAGCAACGCCGCGUGAGUGAUGAAGGUCUUCGGAUCGUAAAACUCUGUUAUUAGGGAAGAACAUAUGUGUAAGUAACUGUGCACAUCUUGACGGUACCUAAUCAGAAAGCCACGGCUAACUACGU